CCUACGGGAGGCUGCAGUGGGGAAUAUUGCACAAUGGGGGAAACCCUGAUGCAGCGACGCCGCGUGGGGGAUGAAGGAUUUCGGUUUGUAAAGCUCUAUUGUUAGAGAAGAUAAUGACGGUAUCUGACUAAUAAGCACCGGCUAACUACGUGCCAGCAGCCGCGGUAAUACGUAGGGGGCAAGCGUUAUUCGGAUUCACUGGGCGUAAAGGGCGCGUAGGCGGGAGAGCAAGUCAGAUGUGAAAACCUGGGGCUUAACCCUGGGAGUGCAUUUGAAACUGUUCAGCUGGAGUGCAGGAGAGGUAAGUGGAAUUCCUAGUGUAGCGGUGAAAUGCGUAGAUAUUAGGAGGAAUACUCGUGGCGAAGGCGGCUUGCUGGAAUGUAACUGACGCUGAGGCUCGAAAGCGUGGGGAGCAAACAGGAUUAGAUACCCUGGUAGUC
rnacentral:rRNA from 1 species